rnacentral:rRNA from 1 species
ACUGGAGGUCCGUACCGACUAAUGUUGCAAAAUUAGCGGAUGAGCUGUGGAUAGGGGUGAAAGGCUAAACAAAUCUGGAAAUAGCUGGUUCUCUCCGAAAACUAUUUAGGUAGUGCCUCAAGUAUUACUGCAGGGGGUAGAGCACUGUUAUAGCUAGGGGGUCAUGGCGACUUACCAAACUAUGGCAAACUCCGAAUACCUGCAAGUACAGCUUGGGAGACAGAGCACCGGGUGCUAACGUCCGGACUCAAGAGGGAAACAACCCAGACCGCCAGCUAAGGUCCCUAAAAUUGGCUAAGUGGGAAACGAAGUGGGAAGGCUAAAACAGUCAGGAUGUUGGCUUAGAAGCAGCCAUCAUUUAA